rnacentral:rRNA from 1 species
GACGUAGGAUGCAAGCGUUGUCCGGAAUUAUUGGGCGUAAAGAGUUCGUAGGCGGUUGCCUAAGUCUGAUGUUAAAUACUAGAGCUCAACUCUGGCAUGGCAUUGGAAACUGGGCAGCUAGAGUGCGGUAGAGGUCUCGGGAAUUCCAGGUGUAGCGGUGAAAUGCGUAGAUAUCUGGAGGAACACCGGUGGCGAAAGCGCGAGACUGGGCCGUAACUGACGCUGAGGAACGAAAGCCAGGGGAGCGAAAGGGAUUAGAAACCCUCGUAGUCC